CACYUCUAGCAUCACANGUAUUAGAGGCAUUGCCUGCCCAGUGACAUUACAGUUCAACGGCCGCGGUAUCCUGACCGUGCAAAGGUAGCAUAAUCACUUGUUCUUUAAAUAAGGACUAGUAUGAAUGGCGCAACGAGGAUUUAACUGUCUCUUAUUUACAGUCAGUGAAAUUGAUCUUCCCGUGAAGAAGCGGGAAUAAUAUAAUAAGACGAGAAGACCCUAUGGAGCUUAAAUCUAUUUACCUAAUUAAAAUAUUUAUACCUAAGGGAAUAAAAACAAAAAUCUAGGUWAAUAAUUUUGGUUGGGGUGACCUCGGAGAAAAACUAAACCUCCGAAUGAUAUUAGCUAAGACCCUACAAGUCGAAGCAACAUUCAUAAAUUGACCCAGAAUAUUCUGAUCAAUGGACCAAGUUACCCUAGGGAUAACAGCGCAAUCCUAUUUUAGAGUCCCUAUCGACAAUAGGGUUUACGACCUCGAUGUUGGAUCAGGACCCCCAAAUGGUGCAACCGCUAUUAAAGGUUCGUUYGUUCAACGAUUAAAGUCCU
rnacentral:rRNA from 1 species